CCUUCAUCUUCUUUUCUUUUAAUUCAUACGCUGAACAAUUGAAAGGAGGUAGCCGAGAGGGAUUUACCUUGAUUCCGAAGGAGAUUGCAGUAUCCCGUGCUCCGGUGCCUCCAUUCCAACACCUCCUCUGCCGGUUCACAGGUUCUUGAGAUUUUUGAAGGGAGAACUAGUAGGUUUUUAAGUGGUUUAGGGGGGGGGUGCGAGGUGUCACGCCCAGCUUCCUCCUCAUGAAAGGCUUAACAGCUGGGUCUUCCACAGCUUCCCAGCUGGCCCUACCCUAGUCACAUUCAUCCUCAGGCUAUGAGAUAGCAGCCAUCAAAUGGCUGCCAACAAUGGGCCC
rnacentral:lncRNA from 1 species